GACGAACGCUGGCGGCGUGCUUAACACAUGCAAGUAGAACGAAGUGGCGAACGGGUGAGUAAUACGUGGGUAACCUGCCCUCCUUUUUGGGAUAAGCCUUGGAAACGGGGUCUAAUACCGAAUAAAGGGGGAUGGGCUCGCGGCCUAUGAGCUUGUUGGUGGGGUGAUGGCCUACCAAGGAGGUGACGGGGAGCAGGGCUGAUAGGGGGCACGGCCACAUUUGGACUGAGGUAAGGCCCAGACUUCUACGGGAUGCAGCAGUGGGGGAUAUUGCACACUGGGCGAAAGCCUGAGGCAGCCACGCCGCGUGGGGGAUGAAGGCUUUCGGGUUGUAAACCUCGUUCGCUAGCGAACGGGUAGGUGGAGAAGAAGCGCCGGCUAACUACGUGCCAGCAGCCGCGGUAAUUC
rnacentral:rRNA from 1 species